AAUGAGGCCAAGCAUGAGGAUUGUAUAGAUAUAUUGGACCAGUAUCAACAGGUCCUUGGUGAUGUUUACAUGAAGGCAUUUGUUACUGAGGGUUUUACAGACAGUUAGGAUACAGGAUCCACUGACCUUCUUCGGUCCUAUAAAGUCCCUGUUGGUGGUGAUCAAUUAACUCGUGAGCGUCUAGAGGAAGCGAAACACCUUCGUUCCUUAGCUACCUAACCAGAAAAGUGGUUUGAAGAUCUCCACCCUUUCAAAAUAGAGCUCUGGCACAUCAAGCAGGACUUCUUGGAGAAAUGCUUUAAAGAGCUGUUCAGUUCCAAAACUCUGAGACAAACUGGAACCCUAUACCAUUACAAGGGCAAGUUGCAAAGGAGCGAUGUAAAUGGAAAGGUUAAUGGCGCCUUUAAAGCGCAUCACGAUUUCCUGUCGCUGGCAGGUAAACAGAUGGUGAAGGUGCAGCUGAUGGAGUUCUUUGGCAUGGAGAGCCCUGAUUCCAGUUGCACCCGAAAUGUUAUUCAGCUGGUGAAGUCAAAAUCCGAAAACUAUGAAUCACUGUUAAAUUCAUUGCGACAGUUCCUUGACCACUUUGGCUAUCUAGACUAUGUACAUGAGACUGAUGGUGUGGUGUCCAAUGACACAGAUGAUACUGUGUAUACUGAGAGGUGGAGCUGCAGGAAAUAUUGAAAGUGAUCUUGUACAAGAAAACUCUGUAAGAAACCAAAAGGAUUUAAUCAGGGCUUUGGGUGCAAAUAAGGCGGAAAAAGCAAUUCAAAGAAGUUGCAGAGCCGCAGACACUGUGUCCGACAUUGUCGAGAAAAUAGAGAUUUCCACAUCAGUAAGGAAAGUUUCUAGUAGGCAUCAAACGCCAGCCAGAAUAAAAGAUAAGGAAGUGAUUGCCAAUUCUUUGAGGGACUUGCGACCGUUUUCUAAAACAAUAGGAAGAGUGUGUCAAGGCAUACCAAAUGUCCUAUGUUCAUCAGUCAGAAAAAUUAACUCUGUUGAUCUUAAGUACAGGAUCAAGCAAGUAGUAGACAGGCUGUAUUAUGGAAAUACUAUCAAUUUUGACCAUGAAUCGUCUGAGGAGGACUGCUAGGGUGUGUUACAUGGAGUGACGUAAUAAGUGUGCCCUACAAUUUUAAACCUCAGUCCUGUAUAUUAGUUGAUUUGAAACUAAGAGUUUUGAAAUUGUUUGUUAUGGACAUCUUAUUAACCACAAUGCAAGCAAAAAAUGCAUAAAAAUUGAAAAAAAAACCAUCAUUUUCAUAACAUUUAUAUGACAUAUAUUCUGCAUUGGGAUAGCUGGUUGUUGUGCUCAAGUUUUGACAGUACUUUAUGCAACGUUCAGUUUGCAUUCCAUUUGAAUCAAGAUAUUCUGAAUAUAGACAUUAAACAAAGUGUUUCUUUAUAAACGACAGUUUUCAGAAGAAAUACUUUUUACGUUUAAAUGUGCGGAGUAUUUUGUUUAUUGGGACUACAUGUAUAAUUCUAACUGAACUACAUUAAUGUUUGCCUAGCAAGAACAAAUAUGCAUAACAAAAUACCAUACCAAUAACAUGUAAUUUAAUAUCAUGGUACAUUCACAUCACCUGUGCUUUUAAUCAACUACUCAUUGCAAGAACACAUGUUUAUGUAGAACACAAAUAUGUACUGUCUGUACACUAAAGACUUACAGUUUAUAUACAUUUACCAACAGGUUUGUCAUGUGAUUUUUUUAAAUUCAGUAUUUGUUUUAGGUCAGCUCUGGAUUAUUUUCCAGUGCAAAACAAGACAUAAAAUAUGUUGUCUACCGAAUGUUAUAACAUGUGUAACUGGCAUUUUGUAAAUUGUUCAGGAGUACAUAUUUUCCAAAAUACAUAAAGAGCACAUAUUUAACUUUUUUGCAUUCAAAAUAUCUCACCGUUAAAAUUAUGGUAAAUGUUUCUGUCUUAAUUAUUAAUUGUUUGCCAAAAUACAUCUCAAUUUGGAUGUUUUGUUUAUAAUACUUAUCAGAAAUUGAUAUACAGAAAAAAUUUAUUAUUAUAAUUAAACAGUUUUUUGCUCCACCUGAAAAUGUUACAAAAUGUAAUUUACAGUUUUUUUACAUUCAGAAGACAACAUGGGUUUGAUGGUAUCAAUUUGGAAAAUAUAGUAAAAACAUUUUUACCAAAGAGGUUGUCCUAAUAUUUAAAUAGUUGAUGUAUGUGAUUGUCACCUACACAAUAUAAAGAAGUGAAACUCCAGCUGCUGGAGCAGUAUUGAAUUUUCAUUAAAAACAAUUAGUUGGUCCUUUAUUUAAGGCAAGUGACCGAUUGCCCAAACAGUACAAAACAGCACAAUACAGCACAAUACAAACCAACAUAAACACAAAAUAUGAAUAAAGCUGGGGUCACCGCCUUGGAACGGUCAAUGCAAAGCAUUGGGGGUUUAAACCUGGUUAUAGAGCGCUCAACCUCACACUUGGCCCAGCAAUAUUCAUAAUACAUUCAAGUGUAAAUAAAAUUUAACGUCAUAGCAUUGUAACUCAAAUUAAACAAUAAUAAAAGGGAAUUUAAACGCAUUCAAUUUAAUUACUAUUUAAUUACUCAAUUGUAUUGAAGAUACAAGAGUAACAGAAUUACAACUUUUUGACGAACGAUCAAAUAAAACUAUUAACAAUUGUCAACUACAUUCCUUCUUUAUAGAAAAGAUUUGAGAAUGUAGAAUCAUAGAGUUAAUAUCUCAGAUAAUCAUCGCGCAAAUACAGGAAGAAGCAGCAAUAAUGGGUGUAAAAAUUCCAUAUUACAUAGCUUGGUUGUUUAUGUGAUUGCUAAACAAAUUAAAAAUAAUUAAAUCAAACAAGAAACGCCUAUCAGAGAGAAAAUAUAAAUAAAAUGGAACGUUAUAAACCCAAUGACCUAUGCAGCACAA